AACGAACGCUGGCGGCAUGCCUAACACAUGCAAGUCGAACGAGACCUUCGGGUCUAGUGGCGCACGGGUGCGUAACGCGUGGGAACCUGCCCUUAGGUUCGGAAUAACUCCCCGAAAGGGGUGCUAAUACCGGAUAAUUUCUUCGAACCAAAGAUUUAUCGCCUUUGGAUGGGCCCGCGUUGGAUUAGCUAGUUGGUAGGGUAAAAGCCUACCAAGGCGACGAUCCAUAGCUGGUCUGAGAGGAUGAUCAGCCACACUGGGACUGAGACACGGCCCAGACUCCUACGGGAGGCAGCAGUGGGGAAUAUUGGACAAUGGGCGAAAGCCUGAUCCAGCAAUGCCGCGUGAGUGAUGAAGGCCUUAGGGUUGUAAAGCUCUUUUACCCGGGAUGAUAAUGACAGUACCGGGAGAAUAAGCUCCGGCUAACUCCGUG
rnacentral:rRNA from 1 species